GGUUAAGUGAAUAAGGGCGCACGGUGGAUGCCUUGGCACUAGGAGCCGAUGAAGGACGGGACUAACACCGAUAUGCUUCGGGGAGCUGUAAGUAAGCUUUGAUCCGGAGAUUUCCGAAUGGGGAAACCCAGCAUCUUUUAUAGGAUGUUACUUUUCAGUGAAUACAUAGCUGAUUAGAGGUAGACGCAGAGAACUGAAACAUCUAAGUACCUGCAGGAAGAGAAAGAAAAAUCGAUUCCCUGAGUAGCGGCGAGCGAAACGGGAAAAGCCCAAACCAAGAGGCUUGCCUCUUGGGGUUGUAGGACUCCGAUAUGGUAGUCCAGUGAGAUAGUCGAAGGACCUGGAAAGGUCUGCUAGAAAGGGUAAAAGCCCCGUAGACAAAAUUUGACUGGCACCUAGGAGGAUCCUGAGUACGGCGGAACACGAGGAAUUCCGUCGGAAUCCGGGAGGACCAUCUCCCAAGGCUAAAUACUCCCUAGUGACCGAUAGUGAACCAGUACCGUGAGGGAAAGGUGAAAAGCACCCCGGAAGGGGAGUGAAAUAGAUCCUGAAACCGUGUGCCUACAACAAGUUAGAGCCCGUUAAUGGGUGAUAGCGUGCCUUUUGUAGAAUGAACCGGCGAGUUACGAUUACUUGCGAGGUUAAGUUGAAAAGACGGAGCCGCAGCGAAAGCGAGUCUGAAUAGGGCGAAUGAGUAAGUGGUCGUAGACCCGAAACCAUGUGAUCUACCCAUGUCCAGGUUGAAGGUGCGGUAAAACGCACUGGAGGACCGAACCCACGUACGUUGAAAAGUGCGGGGAUGAGGUGUGGGUAGCGGAGAAAUUCCAAACGAACUUGGAGAUAGCUGGUUCUCUCCGAAAUAGCUUUAGGGCUAGCCUCAGAGUAAGAAUGAUGGAGGUAGAGCACUGUUUGGACUAGGGGCCCAUCUCGGGUUACCGAAUUCAGAUAAACUCCGAAUGCCAUCCAUUCAUCUCUGGGAGUCAGACUGUGAGUGAUAAGAUCCAUAGUCGAAAGGGAAACAGCCCAGACCACCAGCUAAGGUCCCCAAAUAACUAUUAAGUGGAAAAGGAUGUGGGGUUGCACAGACAACUAGGAUGUUGGCUUAGAAGCAGCCACCAUUUAAAGAGUGCGUAAUAGCUCACUAGUCGAGUGACCCUGCGCCGAAAAUGUACCGGGGCUAAAUAGUUUACCGAAGCUGUGGAACANNNNNNNNNNNNNNNNNNNNNNNNNNNNNNNNNNNNNNNNNNNNNNNNNNNNNNNNNNNNNNNNNNNNNNNNNNNNNNNNNNNNNNNNNNNNNNNNACAGUACCGAAGUUCCUGAUGUCACACUGCCGAGAAAAGCUUCUAGUGAGAAAACAAUGGCCCGUACCGCAAACCGACACAGGUAGUCGAGGAGAGAAUCCUAAGGUGAGCGAGAGAACUCUCGUUAAGGAACUCGGCAAAAUGACCCCGUAACUUCGGGAGAAGGGGUGCUGAUCUAACGAUCAGCCGCAGUGAAUAGGCCCAAGCGACUGUUUAUCAAAAACACAGGUCUCUGCAAAAUCGAAAGAUGACGUAUAGGGGCUGACGCCUGCCCGGUGCUGGAAGGUUAAGAGGAGUGCUUAGCGUAAGCGAAGGUACGAAUUGAAGCCCCAGUAAACGGCGGCCGUAACUAUAACGGUCCUAAGGUAGCGAAAUUCCUUGUCGGGUAAGUUCCGACCCGCACGAAAGGCGUAACGAUUUGGGCACUGUCUCAACGAGAGACUCGGUGAAAUUUUAGUACCUGUGAAGAUGCAGGUUACCCGCGACAGGACGGAAAGACCCCAUGGAGCUUUACUGCAGUUUGAUAUUGAGUGUUUGUACCACAUGUACAGGAUAGGUAGGAGCCGUAGAAGUCGGGACGCUAGUUUCGACAGAGGCGCUGGUGGGAUACUACCCUUGUGUUAUGACCACUCUAACCCGCACCACUAAUCGUGGUGGGAGACAGUGUCAGAUGGGCAGUUUGACUGGGGCGGUCGCCUCCUAAAGAGUAACGGAGGCGCCCAAAGGUUCCCUCAGAAUGGUUGGAAAUCAUUCGCAGAGUGUAAAGGCACAAGGGAGCUUGACUGCGAGACCUACAAGUCGAGCAGGGACGAAAGUCGGGCUUAGUGAUCCGGUGGUUCCGCAUGGAAGGGCCAUCGCUCAACGGAUAAAAGCUACCCUGGGGAUAACAGGCUUAUCUCCCCCAAGAGUCCACAUCGACGGGGAGGUUUGGCACCUCGAUGUCGGCUCGUCGCAUCCUGGGGCUGUAGUCGGUCCCAAGGGUUGGGCUGUUCGCCCAUUAAAGCGGCACGCGAGCUGGGUUCAGAACGUCGUGAGACAGUUCGGUCCCUAUCCGUCGCGGGCGUUGGAAAUUUGAGAGGAUCUGUCCUUAGUACGAGAGGACCGGGAUGGACUUACCGCUGGUGUACCAGUUGUCUCGCCAGAGGCAUCGCUGGGUAGCUAUGUAGGGAAGGGAUAAACGCUGAAAGCAUCUAAGUGUGAAGCCCACCUCAAGAUGAGAUUUCCCAUUUCUUUAAGAAAGUAAGAUCCCUGAGAGAAGAUCAGGUAGAUAGGUCAGGAGUGGAAGUGCAGUGAUGUACGGAGCGGACUGAUACUAAUCGAUCGAGGACUUAACCAA
rnacentral:rRNA from 1 species